CUCAGAGCGAACGCUGGCGGCAGGCUUAACACAUGCAAGUCGAGCGGGGAAGGGUAGCUUGCUACCUGACCUAGCGGCGGACGGGUGAGUAAUGCUUAGGAAUCUGCCUAUUAGUGGGGGACAACAUCUCGAAAGGGAUGCUAAUACCGCAUACGUCCUACGGGAGAAAGCAGGGGAUCUUCGGACCUUGCGCUAAUAGAUGAGCCUAAGUCGGAUUAGCUAGUUGGUGGGGUAAAGGCCUACCAAGGCGACGAUCUGUAGCGGGUCUGAGAGGAUGAUCCGCCACACUGGGACUGAGACACGGCCCAGACUCCUACGGGAGGCAGCAGUGGGGAAUAUUGGACAAUGGGCGAAAGCCUGAUCCAGCCAUGCCGCGUGUGUGAAGAAGGCCUUUUGGUUGUAAAGCACUUUAAGCAGGGAGGAGAGGCUAAUGGUUAAUACCCAUUAGAUUAGACGUUACCUGCAGAAUAAGCACCGGCUAACUCUGUGCCAGCAGCCGCGGUAAUACAGAGGGUGCGAGCGUUAAUCGGAUUUACUGGGCGUAAAGCGUGCGUAGGCGGCUUAUUAAGUCGGAUGUGAAAUCCCCGAGCUUAACUUGGGAAUUGCAUUCGAUACUGGUUGGCUAGAGUAUGGGAGAGGAUGGUAGAAUUCCAGGUGUAGCGGUGAAAUGCGUAGAGAUCUGGAGGAAUACCGAUGGCGAAGGCAGCCAUCUGGCCUAAUACUGACGCUGAGGUACGAAAGCAUGGGGAGCAAACAGGAUUAGAUACCCUGGUAGUCCAUGCCGUAAACGAUGUCUACUAGCCGUUGGGGCCUUUGAGGCUUUAGUGGCG
rnacentral:rRNA from 1 species